AAGACACACAAGUAAAUUAAACUAUUCUUAACGUUUGUUCAUGAUCCUAUAUCACGAAACAGACUUUAUUUCCCAACAAAAACCAUCAUAGCCAUAUUAGAACUCCUCCCAGUACCAUUCAAAUAAUAAACUACACUAGUCAUCUUGCAAAUUCAACAUGAGAUUUAUUUACACUUAGGAUGACUACUGACUUUCAACAAAGUAAGGCAAGUCAAGCAACUGAGAUAAGCCUUCUGCUGUAGUACCUAUUCAGUCCCAAAUUAAACACAAGAAAACAAAUUCUAAUAGCUGAAAUAGAAAUCAAUUUAGAAGACCAUGAACUAAGGCUAUGAAAUACCAUACAAUAAGGGGUAGGACUGAAUUCAUAAAGUAAACAAAAAAAAUGUUUUGAACUCUAUUUUUUCAUUUUAUUCUUCAGUUCAAACUUCACAUGAGGGAGAAUGCAUAAGUGUACCUGAAUAACAGCAAAAAUAGAUUAGAAAUCUAGUCUGAACUAAGAUGAAGAAACAGCGGAAGAAAUCAGCAAUGCAAUAGUAUUAGCAACCAAAAUCCAGAUUUCAAAAAUCAGAACACAAAUGAUUCAAAACCAAACUCUUAAUCCAGCAAUGGAAAAGUAGAAACCACAACAAAUCCAAACCAGACUCUAGAAUACCAAAACUCAAACUAUUUUUAACCUUGGAAUGCAAACCAUGAACUUUCAUUGAUUUGAACCAAAUUAUUAGGACCAGAAGAACAAGAAUCCAAAGCAGAAUUUUUGGUAAUUUUCAGAAAAUUCCAAGAAUUCAAAGUUGUUUCAGAUAUAUUUUUAAAGAAGAAGCAGUCGUUUCAGUUUUGGAUGAUUUCUAUCUCUUAAAAUCUACCUUGCUAAAGAAGAAAUGAUGCCUUUAUAGGCAACUUUUUAGGGCAGCCCAAGGACAUCAUAUUUUGCAUUUCGACCCUUUUCGAAUUUUUAUUUUUGCUUAAGAGACCUUAAUUUAUAA
rnacentral:lncRNA from 1 species